rnacentral:tRNA from 1 species
GCGGGGGUUGCCGAGCCAGGUCAAAGGCGCAGGACUUAAGAUCCUGUCCCUUAGUGGGUCCGAGAGUUCAAAUCUCUUCCCCCGCACCA